rnacentral:rRNA from 1 species
ACGAACGCUGGCGGCGUGCUUAACACAUGCAAGUCGCACGGAAAGGCCCUGCUUUUGUGGGGUGCUCGCGUGGCGAACGGGUGAGUAACACGUGAGUAACCUGCCCUUGUCUUUGGGUUAACUUCAUGAAACUGGGGCUAAUACCUGAUAGGAGCUCCUGCUGCCUGGUGGGGGUUGGAAAGUUUCGGCGGUUGGGGAUGGACUCGCGGCUUAUCAGCUUGUUGGUGGGGUAGUGGCUUACCAAGGCUUUGACGGGUAGCCGGCCUGAGAGGGUGACCGGCCACAUUGGGACUGAGAGACGGCCCAGACUCCUACGGGAGGCAGCAGUGGGGAAUAUUGCACAAUGGGCGGAAGCCUGAUGCAGCAACGCCGCGUGCGGGAUGACGGCCUUCGGGUUGUAAACCGCUUUCGCCUGUGACGAAGCGUGAGUGACGGUAAUGGGUAAAGAAGCACCGGCUAACUACGUG